GACGAAUGCUGGCGGCGUGCCUAAUACAUGCAAGUCGAACGCUUCUUUCUUAUCGAACUUCGGUUCACCAAGAAGGAAGAGUGGCGGACGGGUGAGUAACACGUGGGUAACCUGCCCUUUAGCGGGGGAUAACACUUGGAAACAGGUGCUAAUACCGCAUAAUCUUUUUUCUCGCAUGAGAGAAAAGUGAAAGACGCUUUUGCGUCACUAGAGGAUGGACCCGCGCCGUAUUAGCUAGUUGGUAAGGUAACGGCUUACCAAGGCAACGAUACGUAGCCGACCUGAGAGGGUGAUCGGCCACACUGGAACUGAGACACGGUCCAG
rnacentral:rRNA from 1 species